CCCCCCCCCCAUGACUACUUGGGUUAUUGCCCCCUGAAAUGAAAGAGACAGCGUUCCUACUCAGCUGUUGUUAGUUUGCUGUUAUAUACAACACAUGUAUAUAUAUAUACGUAUCUAUGUACACAACACGUGUAUAUAUAUAUACAUGUUUACGUGUGUUGGACUUGGAUACAUAUAUUACCAUAUAAAUACAUGUAAAUAUGCAGUAAAUCUAGAGGUGAAUACGACGCGUUGGCGCAUCGACCUGUCAAACACGGAAGAGAACAACGACCACGUGGGAGUCGCUGCUGAUGAGGACGUCGUUUUACACGUCUGCGUGUACAGGAAUAGUAAGUGGAACAGUCAUUUUCAUCAACCAUAUAAAUACGAAUAAGAAGAAUAAGAAAUUAGAUGGAAUAAGAGGGAGAAACUGUAUGUUUGGUGCAUCUAAACAUUGUUACUACCUGUUUACCUGUUUACCUGUUUACCUGCGUACCUGCUUACUCAGCCUGCUUAGCUGUUUACAGACAUUUCUGUGACCAGACUAAUCCAGAGGGGGAUUACAGCAAACUAGAGAGGAAUACAGAACAACAUGCAGUAAACGUUCCUUAGAUGUAGAAGAGCGUGUUAAAGCUCAUUACAAUUCAACUUGAUGUUGAAUCUUAAUCAGACCAACUGAGAUUAAAACCCACCAAGUAGAUGUUGUUUGUGUAACGAGGUCAACGGACAAAGACCCAAAUCCACAGAGCAUUUCAAUCUGUAAACUCACUAAUUAGAUGCAAACGCUGAUGUUAACUGAAGUUGGUUCGCUGAGUCGCAGUGACCUGCAUGUGGAAACUAGUAAGUCUCUUUAGAGGGUUACUGAAGAGGAACAAAGGCCCCACGGAGCAGCUUCAGAUCUCCCUUCGAUUACAGCCCAGCUGAUUGUGCUCCUUUGGACUCAUGGUAGCCGGUGUGAUUGUCUGGAGACUCGCCCGAUUAGACAUGGACUUAUUAUGGUACUGACUUGAGAUUGAAAUUCAGUGUGACGGAUGAGACUGACUGACGGAUAUCUGGAGGGAUGGAUGGGUGGGUUGGUUGGUUGGUUGGUAGGUAGGUAGGUAGGUAGGUAGGUAGGUAGGUAGGUAGGUUGGUAGGUAGGUAGGUAGGUAGGUAGGUAGGGAGGUAGGGAGGUAGGUAGGUAGGUAAAAAGGUACCAGGGUCUGUAGCUGCAUAGAUCUGGUAGAAAUGUCAGUGAGCAGGAAGAAAUGAGUGGGUGAAGUUAAGCUACGGGGCUAAACGGGGUUGAUUAAAGAGAAAUGUAAAAGAUGAGAAUGAGUGAUAUCAGCUAAAGAGUUAAAGAGAAAAUAAGGGAAUGAAGGUGAAUGUUGAAAGAAAGAAAAAACAAGCAGCUGCAGUGCGUCAUCUCUUUAAGCCCCGAAAUGACGAAGCGAAGCGCCCAGAGCCACAUAAUCCCGUCCCCCAUUAGCAGCCGAGUACCAUGACCACACACUCACACUCAGGCACUCGAGUGCUGCAAUGUCCAAUGUCAGGAUCUCCGAUCCACCGAGUCGGUUGAUGAGAAGAAUCGCAGCACGUUGAUCAAUUAAAGUCAAAAAGUUAACAUUUAUUUAGAAGAGAAAAAGAUUACAUGAGCAAUUCUCCGCAGAUAUCUGGCUCUAACUAUUGCUUGCAAGCAGGAGGUCCAACACAGCAGCACGUAUCUCAGCGUUCGGCGUAAUGACGUCUCCGAGCAGUAAAACCGCUGAGUUUUUCUACACAUGAAGACCAUCCUCAGUGCCCGUUACGAGAAGCUAGAAAGCAGGUUGAGAUAAGAACCCAGGUGAAGAUGAGGGAAACACACACACACACAAGAUCCUCCUCAGUGGCCGGUGCACAUCAUAAUUAAUUGACAUGAAGUUAAAACGUGGAUCCGGAACUUUCGUACCGAAUAAGAUAUGAACCAAGGCCACGAACAGAAGUCCUUUGUUUUGAAGCGUCUGUUAAGUUAAGUUAAAUCCCUUCUUCAGACACAGCUGCAAACCUUCAAUCUUUCUGUCUCUGCACAUCACAGUCAAAAACAGGCACCUGAGGCCCGGCUUUAGCACAAAACAAUGUUAUAAUAUAUUUUACCAGUAGAUGCAUCUCACACCGACCUGACAGAAAGUUCCUUUGCUGCAUUUGUGUCAAAGUGUAAUUAAUUCAUCGAGAAACCCUACGAAAGAACACCACCUCUGCCGCCUGAAGCCUCUCACUAACACGGGCAUCUCCACGAGAGGUCACCGGGGUCACCCGUGACUCCCGUGGGUGGAGUUUAAUGCCAACGCAGGCUUUGAGUGAGCAGCAGGGGCCCCGUGUCAUUCUGCGUGUUAUAACGAGAUCAACACAUGUUCCAGUGAGCUCUUCUAAAUCAAUACGUCUCCCACAAGCCUCCAGAGCGGAUCACCUGGCCAACGCACCGACGGUCCAUCACUGAGGAGUCACACAUUUGUUUGAGAGCCCUCAUAAGCCGAUGAGAUUGUUCGAAGGAAGUAGCAGCGCUACUCUCCACACCAUCUGAGGUCAGGAGGACACACGUCCAUGGAGAUCGAGUUCAGGAGACUUCCCAAUGAAGAAGUGAAGUGUCUGAAAGACGGAGCAGGUUCCCGUCAAGGUCCAGGUAAGUUGUACCUGAAAGGGACUAGUUCAUGUCUCAAGUGUCUUCCAGAGAGCAGGAGUAGAAUCCAAGUAUGGCUUUUGGGAAAAUGUCCAGACGUGUAUGAAACAUGUUU
ensembl:lncRNA